ACUCCUACGGGAGGCAGCAGUAGGGAAUCUUCCACAAUGGGCGCAAGCCUGAUGGAGCAACGCCGCGUGAGUGAAGAAGGGUUUCGGCUCGUAAAGCUCUGUUGUUAAAGAAGAACACGUAUGAGAGUAACUGUUCAUACGUUGACGGUAUUUAACCAGAAAGUCACGGCUAACUACGUGCCAGCAGCCGCGGUAAUACGUAGGUGGCAAGCGUUAUCCGGAUUUAUUGGGGCGUAAAGAGAGUGCAGGCGGUUUUCUAAGUCUGAUGUGAAAGCCUUCGGCUUAACCGGAGAAGUGCAUCGGAAACUGGAUAACUUGAGUGCAGAAGAGGGUAGUGGAACUCCAUGUGUAGCGGUGGAAUGCGUAGAUAUAUGGAAGAACACCAGUGGCGAAGGCGGCUACCUGGCCUGCAACUGACGCUGAGACUCGAAAGCAUGGGUAGCGAACAGGAUUAGAUACCCUGGUAGGAUAGCG
rnacentral:rRNA from 1 species